CGUUGCGAGAAAGAAUAGUAAUACAAAACCCUGAAAACCCUUUCCCUUAUCCCAACCAUGAAUCUCCUCACCUCUUCUCCCUCUUUAAUCCUCCCAUUCCAAACCACCACUCUUCUUCCUCGUAAAACCACCGUCAACACCCUAUCCACACGUCGUCGUUUCACACAUCUCCGCCACCGCAAUCAUGUCCCCAAUUUCAAGAUUGUUCGAUGCUCAAUUCAAGAAAACGUCAACUACCUCGAAGCAGAAGAAGCUGAAUUAUUAUUGGCUACAUGCAUUACGCGUACAUUACAUCCGGCGUUGACUUUAGAAUUAGGGCUUCAAAAGAUUAAAGAUGCGGUUAACGAAUUGAAAUUGAAGUCUAAACCUAACUGUAUUGCUAAAGCUGGAAUGUAUAGAUUUCAGAUUGGUGUGUCCCCUGGUUCAAAAGCAUUGAGUUGGUUUUGCUGUCAAGAUCCAUCAUUAUCAGUGUUUCCUCAGUUUUUUGUUUCCACAGGGGUUGAAAACUCAACCGAUAAGUUUCUAUCGUUUAGUAGAACUCGUGGAGUUUUCGGAAUCGGUGCUGCGGUUUACGUUAAAACUAAGUUUCGCUCUGCGUCAGCAGAUCAGAUCAUUUUCAGAAGAGAUCAGUCGGUUGAUUCAACACAUCCAACGGCUUAUGGUUUAGUUGAGAAUAGUUCAUUUUACAUGUUCAUUCCUCAGAUAGAAUUAGUCGAGUCUGAUGGUGUAUCCAUAUUAACUGCAACACUAGCGUGGAAUGACUCUUCCCUCUGUGCAUACGAGGAUGCUUUUGAUGCUAUUAUCGAUCUUACUACAGUCCUUGCAAUGCCCAACGCAGACAACGGCUUGAACAGAAGCGUUAGUUCUGUUCUAAGAAAGUUCAAGAUGACGGUUGACGAACACGCACAAAUGGUAUAUAAAAAUGCUCUUUUGUUAACCGACGGUCGCCUCGAGUACAUGGAACUGGAAAAUGCUUUGUUAUCCUCUCGGUUCUCCCUCAGACUUUCAGCUACUGUCGCCAUCUCCAAUAACAUGGUAUUGCAGCUGGAUCAGUCCCGAGAUAUAAGUUCUUCUUUAAAAGAAUCUUCUAACAUCAAUACCUUGUGGGCAUCACUAAUGAUUGAAGAAUGUUAUCGACUUGGUUUAACGUAUUUUUGUAUAGCUCCAGGAUCACGCUCCUCUCCUCUAGCCCUUGCUGCCACUAGUCAUCCUAUGAUUAGUUGUAUCGCAUGCAUUGAUGAACGGUCACUUUCAUUCCAUGCUAUUGGUUAUGCUCGUGGCUGUCAUAAACCAGCUGUCGUUAUAACCUCAUCUGGCACAGCAGUUUCAAAUCUUUUACCUGCUGUAGUGGAAGCUUCUCAAGAUUUUUUGCCGCUUCUGUUACUCACCGCAGAUCGCCCCUCUGAGCUGCUCGAUACCGGAGCCAAUCAAGCAAUUAAUCAGGUUAAUCAUUAUGGUUCAUUCGUGAGGCACUUUUUCAGUCUACCCGCACCCGCUGACAUUAUCUCAACGAGGAUGGUUCUAACCACCAUUGACUCUGCCGUAUAUCACGCAACUUCUUCACCUUGUGGGCCCGUUCAUAUCAACUGUAGUUUUCGUGAACCUCUAGAAAACACACCACAAGAAUGGAGUAAAAGCUGUUUAAAAGGGUUAGAAUUUUGGGCAUCGAGCGGUCAGCCGUUUACAAACUAUAUUCAUUCCCAUAGUUCUUUCGCACAUAGCAAUUUAGCAGACAUCUUAGGUAUAAUUCAAGGGGCCGAACGAGGUUUACUACUAAUUGGGGCGAUUUUUAAGGAGGAUGAUAUAUAUGCAGCUUUAUUAUUGGCUAAACAUUUUAAGUGGCCGGUUAUAGCCGAUAUUUUGUCAGGUUUAAGGUUAAGAAAAUAUAAAAAUUCUCGUUUUAAACGUGAUGACGGCAUUCUUUUUGUUGAUCACCUCGAUCAUUGUUUACUCUCUGCUGAAGUCAAACAGUGGAUGAAACCAGAUGUUAUCGUUCAGAUCGGAAGCCGGAUAACGAGCAAGCGUAUUUCACAGAUGCUGCAAGAUUGUUCUCCAUGUUCGUAUAUAUUAGUUGAUAAUCAUCCUAAUCGUCACGACCCCGCACAUAUAAUAACGCAUAGGAUCCAUAGUUCGAUCAGUCAGUUUACCGAUUGGGUGCUGGGAUCCUGUGCGACAACGUGCAUCAACAGCACAUGGAGCAGUUUUCUGCGUUCGAUAAACAUGAUGAUUGACUGGGAGAUUUCGUUUGUAAUAAAUUCAGAAAACUCAUUGACUGAACCAUACGUUGCACGUAUAACUUCAGAAGCUCUGGAUUAUGGAUCUACAAUGUUUGUCGGAAAUAGCAUGCCGAUACGAGAUGCAGAUAUGUAUGCAAAUGGAAGUAGCGUCGGAGAAUGUAUACGUGGCGAUGACACGGCAUCAACUUCCGGAUUUCCGUUUCACUGGUUCCAGGUGGCAGGGAACCGAGGAGCCAGUGGUAUAGACGGUUUACUCAGUACAGUUGUCGGUUUUGCUGUCGGCCACAACAAAAGAGUUGUUUGUUUGAUCGGAGACGUCUCUUUUUUGCAUGAUACCAAUGGAUUGGCGCUUCUGAAACAGAGGAUUUCACGGAAACCGAUUACCAUAAUUGUGGUUAACAACCACGGGGGUGCCAUUUUUAGUCUUCUACCUAUCGCCAAUACGGCUGAAGAAGAAAUAUUAAAUAAAUAUUUUUACACGUCUCACAACGUCGGGAUUCAGAACCUAUGUUCUGCGCACACUGUGAAGCAUGUACAUGUCCAUACAAAAGACGAACUGCAAAACGCUUUAAUAAAAAGUCAAUGUGAAGAGGUUGACUGUGUCAUAGAAGUUGAAAGUUCCAUCGAUGCCAAUGCAAACUUCCACAGUAAUUUGAGACAAUUCGCAUGUCGAGCAGCAAGUCAUGCUUUUUCCACCAUUUCACGCCUUUCGGUUCUUAAUUCUUUCUCACAAGGUUCCUUGUCUAUUAAAAUUUGCAAAUUGGAGACCUUCCAGUACAGAAUUCGACUUUCCGCUCCACUGACCACGACUCCUGUCGGUAAUCUCCAGUCCGAACAUUACCGAGAAGGCUUUGUGCUAACUUUGUAUCUUGAAGAUGGAAGCACAGGGAUCGGGGAGGUUGCACCACUCGGAAAUCACACGGAAAAUCUGUUGGACGUAAAGGAGCAACUUCGGUUUCUUGCUCAUGUUAUCGAAGGAGCUCCCGUAUAUUCAUCCCUUCCUCUUCUAAAGGGAUCAUUCACUAAUUGGAUAUCAACCAAUUUAGGAAUCCCACCGGAUUCACUUCUUCCCAGUGUUAGAUGUGGUUUGGAGAUGGCCAUUUUAAACGCUAUCGCUGCCACAGAAGGUUCCACCAUGUUAAAUUUACUUCAUCCGUAUUCCCCUAAAGACGAAUUUUCUACUAAGUCAUUAAAUGUUAAAAUAUGCGCACUUAUUGACUCUGACGGGACUCCUGAAGAAGUAGCUUAUCUUGCAACUACACUCGUUGAAGAGGGAUUUACCGCAAUCAAACUAAAAGUAGCACGCCGAUCCAAUCCCGUUGAAGAUGCUAUUGUCGUACAAGAAAUAAGGAAGAAAAUUGGUUUCCAAGUUCAACUUCGUGCUGAUGCAAACCGAAAAUGGUCAUUUGAUCAGGCUCUUCAGUUUGGCUCUAAUGUGAAAGACUGUGCGCUACAGUAUAUUGAGGAACCCGUGAACGAUGAAGAUGAUAUAAUUAAGUUCUGUGAAGAAAGCGGCUUGCCUGUAGCCCUGGAUGAAACUAUCGAUAAACUUCGAGAAAAUCCUCUUAAAACGCUUGCUAGGUUCAAACACAGUGGAAUUGUUGCAGUUGUUAUAAAACCAAGCUUUGUUGGUGGAUUUGAAAAGGCUGCAUUAAUCGCAAGGUGGGCUCAGCAGCAGGGAAAAAUGGCGGUCGUCAGUGCGGCAUUCGAAAGCGGAUUCGCCUUGUCAGCAUACGUUCAGUUUUCGUGUUUUCUUGAAAUGCAAAAUGCAGAAUUAUGCAAAAUAACGAAGAAUGAGCCUGCAUCACCUGUGGCUCAUGGUCUUGGAACAUACAAGUGGCUCAAAGAAGAUGUAACCACUGAGCCGUUUUGUGUACGUCGUGGUGCAGUCGAUGGCUUCAUGGAAGCAUCUGUUUUCGAUGCUGGUCAAACUUUGGUCAACUUUAAUAUCAAUCAGAGUUCCAUAGUCCAAAGUUUUAAAGCGGAAGAAGUACGGAAUUAUCAGUUAAAAGUGGACGUAGGUGGUGUAACAUUUUCAAUAAACGUGCUAGAGCUUGGAGACGAAAAAAAUGAUAACGUUGUUGUAUUUCUUCACGGCUUCCUCGGGACUAGUGAAGACUGGAUUCCGAUCAUGAAGGCCAUGUCAGCAUCAUCAAGAUGCAUUGCAUUUGACCUUCCCGGUCACGGGGGUUCAAAGAUGCAUCCCAAUGAUGACGUGGACCGGGGAUCCAACUUGUCAAUGAAGGUAGUUGCGGACAUGCUACACAAGCUGCUUUGUAUUCUAACCACUAGUAGUAAAGUCACGGUUGUUGGAUACUCCAUGGGCGCACGGAUCGCUUUAUACAUCGCUUUGAGAUGCAACGAUAUGUUGUUAAUGGCGAAUAGCGACAAAUAGCGAUAAGGUACAUAUAUGCUGCAUGGCGAAUAACGAUAAAUAGCGGUACACUAGAAUUUUUUUUUAUGUAUAUUAUAUCAAAAUACCCUGGUAUAUACGCUAUUUUACAUGUAUAUUUAACAAAAGCCUAAAAUCCAACUCUUUUACCGCUGUAUUUAAUCACUAUUUAUAUUUAAAAAUAAAAAUAUAAAAAGUAACAGAAAUCCUACUAUUUAUGGCUACAUACCCUGUAGCGACCUUCGACCUAUACGCAACGCUAUUUCGCUAUAGCGACUGCUAUCGACAAUUACGCUUUAUAUUUGAAGGUAAAAGGAGCGGUUUUAUUAUCUGGAAGCCCGGGAUUAGAUGAUGAGGUAAAAAGAAAAGUUCGCAGUGUUAAAGAUGAUUCUCUAGCUUGUGCCAUUGUUUCAUAUGGAUUGGAUUUAUUCAUAGAGACAUGGUAUUCCGGGGCGCUAUGGAGAAGCUUAAAGAGCCAUCCUCAGUUCAAUCAAAUAGUUGCUAGUCGCAUGAAGCAUGAUGACGUGGAAGCACUUGCAAAAGCUUUGUCCGACCUUAGUACCGGAAGACAACCGUCUUUGUGGGAAGAUCUAAAGCAUAAUAAAAUUCCACUUCUGCUUAUUGUUGGUGAUAGAGAUGAGAAAUUUAAAAAGAUUUGUCAAAGUAUGUGGUCAAAACUUGAGGAGGGUAAAGAUGACUCAGUCAAACAUGUUCAUAAAAUGGUCAAGAUUCCUGAUAGUGGGCAUGCUGUUCAUAUAGAGAAUCCACUUCAUGUUAUCAACUCAAUAAGUGAAUUUGUUUCAAGACUGGAUGUGAUUGAUUCAUAAUAUUCUGCUAUAUCAGAAGGUUUUUGCCUUUUUGGAACUGGACUGGCUGGUCAGCCCGGGAACCGGGCAUUCAACUAGUUUGAUUUUUGGAACGUUGGCCGUCGUUCAUAAAAUUCUAAAGCAAUUUUAUGCAAGUGUGUAAACAUGUUAAACGUCCGAACUAUUGUAUGAUUCACAUUGUAGUAAAACACAUACCAAUUGUCUGCUC